rnacentral:rRNA from 1 species
AGAGUUUGAUCCUGGCUCAGGAUGAACGCUAGCGGCAGGCCUAAUACAUGCAAGUCGAACGGUGCCUUCGGGCAUAGUGGCGAACGGGUGCGUAACGCGUAAGUAACCUGCCCCAAACUGGGGGAUAGCCCGGCGAAAGCUGGGGUAAACCCGCAUGGUCUCUUUAACUGCAUCAGUUGUUGAGUAAAGCUUUAGCGGUUUGGGAGGGACUUGCGUCCGAUUAGCUAGAUGGCGGGGUAGUGGCCCACCAUGGCUAUGAUCGGUAGGGGCUCUGAGAGGAGCGGCCCCCACACUGGCACUGAGAUACGGGCCAGACUCCUACGGGAGGCAGCAGUAGGGAAUAUUGGGCAAUGGCCGAAAGGCUGACCCAGCCAUGCCGCGUGCAGGAUGAAGGCGCUCAGCGUUGUAAACUGCUUUUAUCUGGGAAGAACGGCAGUCCUGCGGGAUUGUGUGACGGUACCAGAGGAAUAAGCACCGGCUAACUCCGUGCCAGCAGCCGCGGUAAUACGGAGGGUGCAAGCGUUGUCCGGAUUUAUUGGGUUUAAAGGGUGCGUAGGCGGGCUAGUAAGUCUGGUUUGAAAGUCAAUGGCUCAACCAUUGAGGGUGGCUGGAUACUGUUAGUCUUGAAAUUGUUGGAGGCCAUCGGAACGGAUCGUGUAGCGGUGAAAUGCAUAGAUAUGAUCCAGAACACCAAUUGCGUAGGCAGGUGGCUACGACUGAUUUGACGCUGAGGCACGAGAGCAUGGGGAGCAAACAGGAUUAGAUACCCUAGUAGUCC